AGCUGCUCCGGCCUCAUGGCACCAAUGGCACUGGCCGUCAUCCUGGGUUGGUGGCUGGUGGCAGCGAGCAGGGCCCAGCAUCUGCCCAGACCCUCCCUGUCGCUGCUCCCCAGCCAGGGGUUAGAAGUGGGGAGCAAUGUCACCCUGCGCUGCCACCUGCCCCGUCCAGCUGCCUGGGUCUCGUUGCACCAGGAGG